rnacentral:lncRNA from 1 species
UGCUUGGCGAGCGGGGCUCACGUAGGGAAAAAGCACCAGCGAACACAGGGUGUUGGUCAUGGCGGCGAGGGGCACUGCGGCAGAAUUUUUUCCUCUUCUUUGCUGCAACCUGGGUGCGGCUAGAGCAAUUUGUCAUAGAAUCUGGGGGGCUCAUUUUUCCGGCCAAUCACUUUUGGAGAAAUGAGCGCAUUGCAGCAGAAUGCGCUGACGUCAGAGACCACCCCUUCUGCGCCUCCAUAUAAACCCCACCCAGCCAGCCCCUAGCGCAGACGGCGGAGAGCUGGGAUGGAGCGCGCCUUGGCCCGCUGGCCGUGGCUGCAGCUCCUCGGGAGAACCGGGGCGCCCACGCGAGAAUCUCCCCACCUGAGGACACUAGGAGCACCGAUUCCUGGAUCCCCCCAGCAUACAAAGCAGCCGCUGGCAGAGACCCCCAGGACCAGGACGACGAGGGAUGAAGAGGACCAGGACUGACAAGCCAGCUGUCCCUCUUGGCUAAAGGCUUAAACCAGUGCCCUAGUGAGGGGGCACUGGCUGCUAACCCCUGAUCUUUGCUACGCUUGUGCUUGGUCUCUGUGAAUACUUUCCCAUAAGUCUCUGCUGUGUUAAUGUGCCGGCGACCUGGAGUGCUUCCCUCAGGGUGGCGUCAGUCUUUCUCCACUGACCCUGCUGUUGCCCUUAUGAUAUCCUGAAUGGAAAGAUCCCUUUGGGAACUCCUCAGGAGGGGGACCUAGGCCAGAGGCUCCUCUAGCAUCUCACUGGCGAUUCCAAGGCCCAGGGUGGGCUUGUGGAAUGAGCAUGAGCCCUCAUGUCAUGCUACUGAACUGCCAAAGGCAUGCUCCCCUCUUUCGAGAUCCCCCGUCCUUUCUGGGCAAUGGGGAUGAGAAGUGCAACCUCCUAGGGUUGUUGUGAGUAUUAAAUGAGAGAAAGCAGCCUUGGGCAGGGCUGGGCAUAGAGGAUGCGGUCAGCAAAUGUUUGUUGAAAAAAUUUGGCAGGUCAAUCCAUUCCUACCUCUCUCACUUGUCGUACUUGUUCUCCCACAGCACUCCGGACAGCCCCUGUCCCCCAGGCUCUCCUUGCAUCAGGUAGGGGCUCCACCAGAGGGUCCUGGGCUGACCUGAAGGAAUACGAAUUAUGCAUGCGGUCAUUUCCAGAGCACUUUCUAUGUAGAUGAAUGUUCUUUCUAUGUCAUAGGAGUAUGUGUAUGAGGUGGCCUCAUUUACAGAUGAGAAUGAAUUUGUCAUUGAUUUGAGUAAUUUUCAAAAGGCGGGUGGGGAAGAGGACCCAUGAAAGCUGAGUGCCCCUCCCAAGGGAUAGGGCUCACCCACGUUGGCAGUGAGGAUGGACGCCGAGGCUGGAGGGAUGUAAGUAUUUUGUCACAUUGCUGGCAAGAGAAGAGGUCAUAGUUGGAUCCUGGGUGCCAUUGUAGCCGCCCUGUACCCCCUAGCCCAGAGUUAUAUUAAAAGCCCUUUGACGUCCAGUCAGACAUUUGACAAAGGGACAGUCUCUUUGAAAUCCCAGCUGCCCAGGGUGGUCUUGGGGUCUGGGUGGCCCCAGAGCUGGUACCCUGUGCUGGCUCCACCUCCCAGUAACAGUGUGACCUUAAACAAGUCGCUUAACUUCUCCGAGUCUCAGUUCCUUUCAUGGUCUAAAUGGGGAUUAAAAAAAAAAAAAAAAACCUCCGCGUUUAUCUACCCCACAGGGCGCUUUUGAAGACCAAAUGAUGUAACUGCUAUGAAAGUGCUUUGUAAAUUGCUGUGGAAAUUGCGAGAUACUUAUCCCCCGGAGGCUGUCCUCCGUCCUUCACAUGCCCAGCCCUCUUCUCCCGCAGUAGUAACAGCCAGCACCCAGUAGGUGCUGUGUGUGUUUGCACUCCAUAAGUAAAUUCCAGAAGAAAUAAAAACGGAAUUAAUUCAACA